CCUACGGGCGGCUGCAGUAGGGAAUUUUCGUCAAUGGGCGCAAGCCUGAACGAGCAAUGCCGCGUGAACGAGGACGGUCCUCUGAUCGUAAAGCUCUGUUUAUGGGGAAAUAGAGCGGAGAGCGGAUAUGCUUUCUGAUUGAUAUUACCCUUCGAGGUAGUCACGCAAAACUACGUGCCAGCAGCCGCGGUAAUACGUACGUGGCGUGCGUUAUGCUGAAUGAUUGGGCGUAAGGGGGGGGUAGGGGGCCUGCUAAGUCUGAGUGAAAGGUACCGGCUCAACCGGUACAGGCUCUGGAUACUGGCGGGCUAGAGAGCAGGAGAGGGCGGUGGAACGCCAGGUGUAGCGGUAAAAUGCGUAGAGAUAUGGAAGAACACCAGUGGCGAAGGCGGCCGCCUGGCCUGUAACUGACGCUGAGGCACGAAAGCGUGGGGAGCAAAUAGGAUUAGAUACCCCUGUAGUC
rnacentral:rRNA from 1 species